rnacentral:miRNA from 1 species
GAGAGAAUGAGAGUGAGCACAUCCAGGCGGAUGGGAUAGGCAGGAAUACUUAUCAGUGCUCAAUUCCUUCUCACUCUGUCAUGCUUCCCUGCU